rnacentral:rRNA from 1 species
AUGGAUGCCUUGGUGGUUUUGGCCGAGGAAGGACGCAUGCAUACUUGCGAUAUCGUCGGGAAGGCAGUCAGCAGCCUUUGAUCCGGUGGUUUCCGAAUGGGGCAACCCCCCCGACUAAGUCGGGGAGCCAUACAGACAAAUCCCGAGCAAUCGGGAACAUAGCCGUAUGGUAGGUAAGCAGGUGAACUGAAACAUCUAACUAACCUGAAGAAAAGACAUCAAUAGAGAUUCCGUCAGUAGCGGCGAGCGAAAGCGGAACAGCCUAAACCCUGUCGAAAGACAGGGGGUUGUAGGGCUUCCGAUAUGGGAUGAGAUGCAGGUAGCGGAAUUGCUUGGAAUAGCAAACCAUAGAGCGUGAAAGUCGUGUACGCGAAACCUAAAUCUCCUCUAGGGAGUACCUAAGUACUACGGGGCACGGCAAAACCCCGUAGGAAGCUGGGACGUCCACGUUCCAAGGCUAAAUACCAAAACCAACCGAUAGUGAACGAGUACCGUGAGGGAAAGGUGAAAAGCACCCCGGUGAGGGGAAUGAAAUAGUACCUGAAAUUGUCGACUAACAAACAGUGAGAGUCCCGAUUUAAUCGGGAUGAUCACGUGCCUAUUGAAGAAUGAACCGAUGAGUUGUCGUAACGUUCCAAGUCUAACCAACUUUGUUGGGGAGGCGCAGUGAAAGCGAGCCCUAAUUGGGCUAUUUAGGAGCGGACGACAGACCCGAAACCGGGUGAGCUAACCAUGGACAGGGUGAGUCCCGAGGAAACUCGGGAGGAGGCCCGAACCCUUCAGAGCUGCAAAUCUGUGGGACGAUCUGUGGUUAGGGGUAAUAUGCCUAUCGAACCCGGAGAUAGCUGGUUCUCCUCGAAAUAUAUUUAGGUAUAGCGUCCGUUUAUACGAUCCUGGGGGUAGAGCACUGAAUGGGUUACCAAGCGUAAGCGAGGCAGCUCAAUCAAACUCCGAAUACCAGUGACGUUAUACGGGCAGUCAGUCCGGCUCGGCUAAGCGAGUCAGGUCGAGUGGGGGAAAAACCCAAACUCCCAAUUAAGGUCCCUAAAUCUUGACUAAGUUGAAAAGGAAGUGAGAUUUCUAAAACACCCAGGAGGUUGGCUUAGAAGCAGCCACCCUUUAAAGAAAGCGUAACAGCUCACUGGACGAGAGGUCUUGCGCCGAAAAUGAACGGGGAUCAAGUCAAGUGCCGAAAUUGGAGGUCUUAUCGCAAGAUAAGGCAGUAGAGGAGCGUUCCUAUCGCAGUGAAGGUGUGCCGUAAGGCUAGCUGGAGUGAUAGGAAGUGCGAAUGUCGGUAUGAGUAGCGUAAUUUCGGUGAAAAUCCGAAGCGCCGUAAGCCCAAGGUUUCCGUCCCAACGUUGAUCGGGGACGGGUAAGUCGGAUCUAAGGCAAGUCCCGAUUUAAUCGGGAGUAGCUCGAUGUAGAAGCCGUUGAUAUUCGGCUACAAUGGAGAAAGGUUUCAUAAGGGGAAGACGAAAUUGGAGAGACAGAUCCCGAUUUAAUCGGGACUAAGCCAUAAGAUAGUAGUAACUGGAAAAUCCGUUAUUGCGUUUAAUCAAGUGGUGAUGGAGAGUCCAAAGAGCAAUCUGCGGGCAAUUCUGUACCUUUUCAGGUUCCAAGAAAACUCUCACUAUGUUCUGGGGCGCAAGUCUCAGAAAACUUUCUUUAUUUCCGUACCGCAAACCGACACAGGUGGGCUGGUAGAGUAUACCAAGGCGAUCGGGAGAAAAUGGCUCAAGGAACUCGGCAAAACAGCUGGGCGUAACCUAUGGGAGAUGCCCUGCCUCACGAAAGUGGGGCCACAGCAAAAGACACUUACCAACUGUUUAACUAAAACACAGGUCUCUGCAAAGCCGAAAGGCAACGUAUAGGGGCUGACGCCUGCCCAGUGCACGUAGGUUAAGAAUCAUGGGUGACCCCGAUUUAAUCGGGAAAGCUUGAGAUUCAAGCCCGUGUGAACGGCAGCAGUAACUAUGAAACCGGAAAUCCGGAGUUGUAGUUGUAAAAUGUGACUAUAUGCUGGGACAUCCCGUGUAUCUGAACAUACGAGAAAAUAUCAAAAAUUAAAUAUCAAAUAUCAAAAAUACAUAGUAAAAAUCAAAUUUUUCGCGUAAAAAAUGUUCAGUGGGGAUAAUCAGCAGGUAACCGCGCCAAAAAUUUCAUAUUUAGGCGGGGGAAUCCUCAGAGACCAUAAGUCACAUCCUAAAUGAUUUAGGAAUGAUAUGGUCCGGACUCAUGGGCGACCAUGAGACUCUGUAAGCAAUCAGAGUCCGCCAGUUGGCGGAUAACAAUUCGAACUGUUCUAUGGUGAAACCUGAAAGAAGGUUCGCUGCCAUAGUGAGGUGUAAACCCUCCGUUAUGUGCGUAUGCCGAUACGCGCUAAAACGAAAACUUGACUAUAUGCUGGAAACACUCGUGUAUCCAACGGUACCGCAAUGAGGUAAAAAUCUGUUUGGUGGAGUCAAUCAGCAGGAAAGAUCCCGAUUAAAUCGGGAAAUCCUCAGAGACUAUACGUCAGGAUUCGCCUCAAGAGGCGAAAUAAGAUAUAGUCCAAACUUCGAACAUAUCGAAGAUUUAGAGCGAAAUUCCUUGUCGGGUAAGUUCCGACCCGCACGAAAGGCAGAAUGAGUAAGUGACUGUCUUGAGCCGUUGCCCGGCGAAAUUGAAAUGGCUGUGAAGAUGCGGCCUACUUGCACCAGGACAAAAAGACCCCGUGGAGCUUUACUGCAACUUGGCAUUGAGAAGGCGUUUGAAACUGUCGAGUAUAGGAGGGAGUCCCGCAAGGGACACAAGUGGAAUACCUCUCUUUUCAAACGUUGACCCUUAUCUCUUGGCCGCACAAAUAUCCGGCAGGGAGACAGUGUCUGGUGGGCAGUUUCGCUGGGGAGGUGGCCUCCAAAAUCGUAACGGAGGCGUACAUAAGGUUGGCUUAACACCAAUGGAAACGGUGUUGUACGUGCAAACGCAUAAGCCAGCUUCACUGCGAGACCUACAAGUCGAGCAGAUGCGAAAGCAGGUGUUAGUGAUCCUCGGAUCCGCAGUGGUUGCGGACCGAGCUUAACGGAUAAAAGCUACCCCGGGGAUACAUUCUGUGUCCCGUCCCGAUAGUAUAUACUAAUAUCGGGACUUGGAACGGCUAAUAACGGUGGAAUCCAAAACUGUGGUAAGUUACGGUCUUUACUUACACGAGGCACAGUUUGGACAAUACCGUGGGAAGUUAGGAAAAUGAAUAAACAUAAACAAUCGAUUCUGACUGGAAUGAUUUUAGGAGAUGCUUAUUUACAGAAGACUGGAAAAAACAACGCGCGUAUCCGACUUGAGCAUAGCGAAAAAUCUAGAGAUUAUCUUCUCUGGAAAGGAGCUUGCUUUCCUGAAUAUUUUCAGGGAAAACCAAAAAGAUACGUACGAUUUAAUCCGAUCUUUAAAAAAACGUAUAUCUAUCUGAGAUGGCAAUCAUCUGCAUCUCCUGAGAUAGGCAAAUUGCAGCGAUUAUUUUAUAUCGAUCAUAAAAAAAUCAUUCCCAAGGAUCUCGAUGAACUUUUGGUUGAUCCAAUUUCACUGGCUGUAUGGUAUCAAGAUGAUGGUUAUUACUAUAAACGAGACAAAAUGGCUUAUAUUUAUUUGCCCAGAAUUUCUUCAGAUGAGUUAAAUGUAUUGAUGCAUACACUACAGAAAAAUUUUGGAAUAAAUCCAAGAGUAAAAGUGAAGAAAAGAGGAAAUAGAGUCUUGGUAUUUCCGGUUGAAGAGACAAAGAAAUUAUUUUCUCUCAUUGAACCAUAUAUUAUACCUUCCAUGAGGUAUAAAAUUUCCUAACCCCGUAUCGACUGAGCAUUAAGUUGCGAGGUCCCGAUAAAGUAUCGGGACAAGAUGCCGUCUCCCUCACAUACAAGUAUGUGAGGGAUGAAGAUAUAGUCAACGCCCCGAUGUAAAUCGGGGAAAUAUUAUACGUGAACAGGCUGAUCGCGUCCGAGAGUCCAUAUCGACGACGCGGUUUGGCACCUCGAUGUCGGCUCUCUGCAAAGUGCAGAGUGGGCCCUUUGCCUAGUAAUAGGCAAAAGCAAAUUUGGCUCAUAACGGUGGAGCCCUCUAUAUAACUUGAUAUAAUUUAUAUAUGGGUAAUACCGUAGGAAGUCGAGGAGUUUUAACUAGUAGACAAAGAGAAAUUCUCGUUGGAACAUUGCUGGGAGAUGCGCACUUGGAGAAGAACGGAAGAUAUACUCGCUUACGUGUAGAUCAUUAUGAUAGACACAAAGAGUAUAUAUUCUGGUUAGUCAAUGAGUUUCUACCAUUUUCUUUAAAACCUCGUCGAAUUAUUGAGGUCGAUAAAAGAAAUGGGAAGACUUAUACAAGAUGGCAUUUUUCCACAAAAAGUUUAUCAAAUUUUGAUCCAUUCAGAGAACUAUUUUACUUUCAGGGAAGGAAAAUUAUUCCUUCUAACCUUGAUCGUAUAAUUACACCUUUGUCUCUAGCUAUUUGGUAUAUGGAUGAUGGAUUUAAAAGACAGGAUUCUAAAGGUUUCUAUCUUUGCACAUCAUCCUUUACGAGUGAAGAACAAAAUAUCUUGCAAAAAUUAUUGCAUAAGCGCUUCAACCUGGAUACCAAGAUUCAUCAUCAACAUGAAUUAUCACGAAUCUUUGUUCCUUCCGCGUAUGCGGAUGUAUUUAAUAAUUUGGUUAAGCCAUUUGUUCUUCCAAUCUUUAGUUAUAAACUCCUUUGACCCUCUAACGACUUCCCAAUUUUAUUGGGAGAUUUUAACUAUUUAUUAGUUAGGAUAAUACGCCAAGCCCCCGCAGUCCGCCAGCUGGCGGAUCGGGGUGAUGGUAUAGUCUAACCCUUACGGAAACGUGAGAUAAGGUUGCAUCCUAUCCUGGGGCUGAAGAAGGUCCCAAUGGUCCGGCUGUUCGCCGGUUAAAAGGGUACGCGAGCUGGGUUCAGAACGUCGUAAGACAGUAGACCUUAGUAGUUCGACACUACUAUAAUGAGCUGUCUUUCCUUCACCGUUUUGAACAAUAAGAGAAUUGAAGGAAUCCUAUAAUAUAAGUAUUAUAGGGAUAAAUUUGGCUAAAUGCUGGAAACUCCGAGUAUCUUGUGCUACCUUAAUUUAAUAAGAAAGGUAAAAAUGCAACAAGUGCGGACAAUUAGCAGGAAAGAUCCCGAUUAAAUCGGGAAAUCCUCAGAGACUAUAUGCCAGAUGAUGUACCGUAUGGUGCGUCAAAGAUAUAGUCCGAACUGCAUGGCGACAUGCAGACCGUAGCAGAAAUGUUUACGGCCACAAAGAAAUUGUGAGUAACAAAUUGUCGGUCUCUAUCCGGUGCAAGCGUUGGAUACUUGAGGGGAGCUCUUGCUAGUACGAGAGGACUGCGAGGGAGGAAUCCCUGGUGAGCCAGUUGUUUCCCAUUGGGAGCAAAGCUGGGUAGCUACAUUCCUACGGGAUAAGCGCUGAAAGCAUCUGAAGCGCCAAGCCCACCCCAAGAUAAGGUAUCCCUUUAGACCCCUUGUAGAAUACAAGGUUGAUAGGCGGAAAGUGUACACACGGCAACGUGCUUAGCUUAUCCGUACUAAUUGGUCGAGAGU